CACUUUUCACUCGAGUUAACUCCAACGAAGGCAUAAACAGGUAAACGGACAAAAAGGGAGGGUGGUAUAAGGGUUUACUCGUAUAAGAGGCACGACGGCCUACGCCCAACCAGAGCCUCUGUAAUCCGGGAACUAGAAACUUAGGGCAGGGACAGGGAUCGGAUACCCCACUACUCCUAAGCGUAAUACGAUGCCGGGGAACUACGAACCGCUGUUUAAAACCCAAAGAACUUGGCGGUGAUACAGAUCAGUCUAGGGGAGCAUGACUGUUAAUUCGAUAUUCCGCGAAAAUCUUACCUUUCCUUGUAGUCAGCUUGUAUACCGUCGUUGUCAGUCCCUCUUGUAAAGGGGGGAAAGGGGACUCAACCUACAAAUGUCCACAUGGAUGUUGCUAGAUGACUUCAGAUAAACGUGCAGCCAAUGGAAAGGGCUUGGUUUUGCUACAAUUCUGUUAGAAUACGAAGCUCAGAAAUAUAUCUCUUGAAAUAGAGGAGCGAGGUGGACUUAGCAGUAAACAGAGCUAUCUUGAACGUCGGUGGUUGUAUCGCGU
rnacentral:rRNA from 1 species